UACGGAGGAUGCAAGCGUUAUCCGGAUUCAUUGGGUUUAAAGGGUGCGCAGGCGGAAUGAUAAGUCAGUGGUGAAAUCCUACAGCUCAACUGUAGAACUGCCAUUGAUACUGUCGUUCUUGAGUACACUUGGAGUGGGCGGAAUGUGUCAUGUAGCGGUGAAAUGCUUAGAUAUGACACAGAACACCGAUCGCGAAGGCAGCUCACUAAGUUGUAACUGACGCUCAGGCACGAAAGCGUGGGGAUCAAACAGG
rnacentral:rRNA from 1 species